rnacentral:rRNA from 1 species
GUAGGGAAUCUUCGGCAAUGGGGGCAACCCUGACCGAGCAACGCCGCGUGAGUGAAGAAGGUUUUCGGAUCGUAAAGCUCUGUUGUAAGAGAAGAACUGUGAGAAGAGUGGAAAGUUUCUCACUUGACGGUAUCUUACCAGAAAGGGACGGCUAACUACGUGCCAGCAGCCGCGGUAAUACGUAGGUCCCGAGCGUUGUCCGGAUUUAUUGGGCGUAAAGCGAGCGCAGGCGGUUUGAUAAGUCUGAAGUAAAAGGCUGUGGCUUAACCAUAGUACGCUUUGGAAACUGUCAAACUUGAGUGCAGAAGGGGAGAGUGGAAUUCCAUGUGUAGCGGUGAAAUGCGUAGAUAUAUGGAGGAACACCGGUGGCGAAAGCGGCUCUCUGGUCUGUAACUGACGCUGAGGCUCGAAAGCGUGGGGAGCGAACAGGAUUAGAAACCCUAGUAGUCCG